AAUUUUCUAGAAUUUAAUUAUUUUUUAUUUUUAAUUUAUAUUCUUGUUGAAAAUAACAGGAUUUUCUCUUAAGACUAAAAGACCCUAGAAUUUUUAUAAUUUUUUUUUAUUUAGUUGGGGCAACUAAAAAUAAAA
rnacentral:rRNA from 1 species